GACGAACGCUGGCGGCGUGCCUAAUACAUGCAAGUUGAGCGCUGAAGGUUGGUACUUGUACCAACUGGAUGAGCAGCGAACGGGUGAGUAACGCGUGGGGAAUCUGCCUUUGAGCGGGGGACAACAUUUGGAAACGAAUGCUAAUACCGCAUAAAAACUUUAAACACAAGUUUUAAGUUUGAAAGAUGCAAUUGCAUCACUCAAAGAUGAUCCCGCGUUGUAUUAGCUAGUUGGUGAGGUAAAGGCUCACCAAGGCGAUGAUACAUAGCCGACCUGAGAGGGUGAUAGGCCACAUUGGGACUGGGACACGGCCCAAACUCCUACGGGAGGCAGCAGUAGGGAAUCUUCGGCAAUGGACGAAAGUCUGACCGAGCAACGCCGCGUGAGUGAAGAAGGUUUUCGGAUCGUAAAACUCUGUUGGUAGAGAAGAACGUUGGUGAGGGUGGAAAGCUCAUCAAGUGACGGUAACUACCCAGAAAGGGACGGCUAACUACGUG
rnacentral:rRNA from 1 species